rnacentral:rRNA from 1 species
AGUGGCGAACGGGUGAGUAAUGCAUCGGAACGUGCCCAGUCGUGGGGGAUAACGCAGCGAAAGCUGCGCUAAUACCGCAUACGAUCUAUGGAUGAAAGCGGGGGACCGUAAGGCCUCGCGCGAUUGGAGCGGCCGAUGUCAGAUUAGGUAGUUGGUGGGGUAAAGGCUCACCAAGCCAACGAUCUGUAGCUGGUCUGAGAGGACGACCAGCCACACUGGAACUGAGACACGGUCCAGACUCCUACGGGAGGCAGCAGUGGGGAAUUUUGGACAAUGGGCGCAAGCCUGAUCCAGCAAUGCCGCGUGCAGGAAGAAGGCCUUCGGGUUGUAAACUGCUUUUGUACGGAACGAAACGGUCUGGGUUAAUACCCUGGGCUAAUGACGGUACCGUAAGAAUAAGCACCGGCUAACUACGUGCCAGCAGCCGCGGUAAUACGUAGGGUGCAAGCGUUAAUCGGAAUUACUGGGCGUAAAGCGUGCGCAGGCGGUUUUGUAAGACAGGCGUGAAAUCCCCGGGCUCAACCUGGGAAUUGCGCUUGUGACUGCAAAGCUGGAGUGCGGCAGAGGGGGAUGGAAUUCCGCGUGUAGCAGUGAAAUGCGUAGAUAUGCGGAGGAACACCGAUGGCGAAGGCAAUCCCCUGGGCCUGCACUGACGCUCAUGCACGAAAGC